rnacentral:lncRNA from 1 species
GAAAAGGCCGGGAUGACGCAAGCAGUCCUUUAAAUGCAUAAUAGUAUCCGUUAACUUCUUAGGUGCAUUCAUUUCCUAACAUGCGGUUAUCAAAUUUGCUCAUGCCUUAACCAUUAACCAAGCUAUUGUUGAUGUUGAGUCCAGGCAAGUGGUUAGUUGUUUGGCAUUCUGGCAACCCAUUCCUAGAACACCCGAUCAAAAAACAAGCUGAAAAUGAUCGGCCAUCCGAUACUAGUAUUGUGGACCCGGCAAAAGAGGUAGAGGUGAUGGAUGUAAAUACAAUGAGGGAAGAAAUGCAUAAGUUGAGGAAGCAAAUGGAUGAAAUGCAUCAGGCUUGGUCUAGGGGUCAGCCUACGCUAGUUUAUCCCGCUAAUCCGACCUACAUCCCACCUUUAACUCAGUCUCAGGAGCCUCAUACUGGGAUUCAUCUCAGAUUUCCCGUUCUACAAACAGAGUUAUGGUACCACCUCAUACCCUCCUCAAGUUCCACCACCCCUAAAAACCCUCAUUCACCAAUCACUAGUCUUUGUGGCACCUCCACCUGCCACACUGCAAAGAUCUUCCAGUGAUCUACUGUUUCAAACUCACGACAAUCAGUCUUACCCUCCUGAGCCUACCUUUAAGGUUCUUGAGGCAUAUUCUUAUAACCCUCACUUUGAGCUCCUAGAGGAAACUGAAAAGCCACUUAAGAACCCAGAGUAGGAAGAGAUAAUUCGAAAAAUAAAAAGCCGGGAGCAGUCCUUUCGGAAUAUGCAUGGAUUGGGCAAUCAGGUCAGUGUGGCCUAUAAAGAUCUGUGAAUGUUCCCCGAUGUUCAGCUACCUGCGGGGUUCAAAAUGCCAAAGUUUGAUCCGUAUGAUGGUCACGACAAUCCAGUGCACACUUGCGAGGUUUCUGUACUAAGAUGAGAGGGGUCGGUGGGAAAGAUGAACUGUUUAUGGCAUACUAUGGGCAGAGUUUGAAUGGGUCUGCACUAGAAUGGUAUACACGGCAAGAUCCUAGCAGGUGGUAUACGUGGGAUGAUCUAGCAUAAGCUUUUGCUGGCCACUUCCAGUAUAAUCUUUAGAUCGUCCCAGACCGGCUGUCAUUGAUAAAACUCGAAAAGAAACCCGGGGAAAGCUUCAGGGAAUACGGGUUCCACUGGAGAGAACAUGCUGCAAGGGUUGACCCCCUAAUGAAGGAAGUGAAAUGGUGGAUUGCUUUUUGCAGAAUUUGGGGCCAACUUACUUUGGUCACCUGGUGACGGCAAUUGGCAAAUCUUUUAACGAAGUGGUGAAGAUGGGAGCUAUGGUCGAGGAAGGAUUGAAAUCCGAUAAAAUCAUGAGCUAUUCAGCAAUUAAAGCAACCACUCAGUUCAUCCAAAGCGGCACUAGGGUGUGUUGGGAAAGAAGAAGAAUGAAGAGUUUGGAACAGUCGAAGUCGGAGCUAUAAGCUAUUCAGUUAUUAAAGUAACUAUCCAGGCCAUACAAAGUGGCACUAGGGGUGUUUUGGGAAAGAGGAAGAAAGAAGAGGUGGCAACAGUCAAAUCCGGAGCUUGGUCCAGAUCUAACGGCCCUUCACCCUACUACCAACCUAGAUCCCACCAACCAAAUUUCCCAUACACCAUAUAUGGUCCUCCAUAAUACUACUAUCCACCGCCAAAACCCUAAAUGCUCC